rnacentral:lncRNA from 1 species
GAUUUUUUUGUUUUGUUUUGUUUUGGAGGCCUCAUCCUACUUUGCUUUUUCCUGUUGAGAACUCUUUCUUUUACUGAACUAAAGCUAACUAUUUGUGAGAUGGAAGGCCACUUUGUGAUUAGAGGGUGCAGAACUGAGUGCUUAUUUAAGCUGCAUAAAAAGCUAAAUUAGAAUGUCAGUCACCAUAUUGGUCACCUGUGACUGGCUCACAUGCAAGCUUGUACCAGCACAUUUGUAAAUCUUCUUUCACAUUGCUUGUUGUUCUCCUGGGUACUUAUGUUUAUUCUGAAAUGCAAACAUAAAAGAAUAAGAUUUGAAAUUAAUUUCUUUUGUAUCUAUUAUGACCAGCUUUCGUUUAGAUAGAAUCUCCCUUUUGAAACUCAUUAAAACAUCACGAAAGUCCCAUGUCUCUGCCAGGGCUGGCAGGAGGAUUGUGGCCUACCCUGGGAUUUAAUCACAGCUCUGCAGUAUGCGUACUGCUGGAGUGCAGGGCAGGGGAUGGUUCUGAACCGAGCUGUGGGGGUUUCUGUGAGAAAGCAGAGGUUGACUAAAUGAGGACUAACUGCAGCCCUGCUGGUGCACAGCCUCUAACUGUUUGAAGUUGGUAGCCUUUCUUUCAGAGCUUCCGACACACUCAGCAGCAGCCUGCCAGUGCCGUGCUGCAUGCUCACAGGCUGGAAGCAGUGAGUUGCUGGGGGAACUGCCCGCUGUGCCCCUGCACUGCGCAGGCCCUAGCAGCUCUCCUGCUGCAACCUGGCAUUUCCACAUGCUGCAUUGCACCUCCUCCUCACUUUUGCCCGAUGAGCACACUGAUGGCAGCUAAGAAAGAUGAGAGAAUGACAGCUUGAGAGUGAGUGUGGUGAAAGCUGGGUGCCUUGAGCUCUAGCUUGAGCUGCAGUUCCCUUCCAUCGCAGCAAACCCACAAGAGUCUUUCUGCCAUGUUCUCCUUUCAGGACUUGCCCACCUGACUCCUGGCUCAGCAAUGAGAAAUGGAAGUACAGGAAGUCCCAUGGUGAAUGCUGGAGGGAGAGAGCUCUCUUAAGAGUGAAGUUUAACAGCUAAGGGAACAGUUACAUAAAAAGGAUGAAUGAGCAACAACAAAAGAGGAAGGCUGGGAUCAUAUAAUCUGAAAACUGGAACCACCAUUUAUGAUUUCCUAUUUAGCUGCCUUAGCUUGUGAUCCUGUGAACGUGCUGGUACCAGAGCCUAGAUGCAAGGAGCCACGGGUCAGCCUUCUGAGUCUUUACUAGCAAACUGCAGCUUUGCAAGAUGGGAA